AGAGUUUGAUCAUGGCUCAGGAUGAACGCUAGCUACAGGCUUAACACAUGCAAGUCGAGGGGUAACGGGCAUCAGUGCUUGCACUGUUGUGCUGACGACCGGCGCACGGGUGAGUAACGCGUAUCCAACCUUCCCAUGAGUAGUGCAUAGCCCGGCGAAAGUCGGAUUAAUUCACUAUAUGUGGCAUUUCGGCAUCUUUAUGUCACGAAAGAUUGAUCGCUCAUGGAUGGGGAUGCGUCUGAUUAGGCAGUCGGCGGGGUAACGGCCCACCGAGCCAUCGAUCAGUCGGGGUUCUGAGAGGAAGGUCCCCCACACUGGUACUGAGACACGGACCAGACUCCUACGGGAGGCAGCAGUGAGGAAUAUUGGUCAAUGGGCGCAAGCCUGAACCAGCCAAAUAGCGUGCAGGACGACUGCCCUAUGGGUUGUAAACUGCUUUUGUACGGGGGUAAAGUGUGUCACUUGUGGCAUAUUGCAAGUACCGUACGAAUAAUGACCGGCUAAUUCCGUGCCAGCAGCCGCGGUAAUACGGAAGGUCAGGGCGUUAUCCGGAUUUAUUGGGUUUAAAGGGAGCGUAGGCUGCCGGUUAAGCGUGUUGUGAAAAGCAGUGGCUCAACCACUGUCGUGCAGCGCGAACUGUCCGGCUUGAGUAUCAUGAAAGGUUGCGGAAUUCGUGGUGUAGCGGUGAAAUGCUUAGAUAUCACGAAGACCUCCGAUUGCGAAGGCAGCAGCCUGUGUGUUCACUGACGCUGAAGCUCGAAGGUGCGGGUAUCGAACAGGAUUAGAUACCCUGGUAGUCCGCACGGUAAACGAUGGAUGCUCGUUGUUCGGUGUUUUUUAUGCUGAGUGACUUAGCGAAAGCGUUAAGCAUCCCACCUGGGGAGUACGCCGGCAACGGUGAAACUCAAAGGAAUUGACGGGGGCCCGCACAAGCGGAGGAACAUGUGGUUUAAUUCGAUGAUACGCGAGGAACCUUACCCAGGCUUGAAUUGCAGGGAGACGUCGCGGAGACGCGUCGGUCCUUCGGGAUUCCUGUGAAGGUGCUGCAUGGUUGUCGUCAGCUCGUGCCGUGAGGUGUCGGCUUAAGUGCCAUAACGAGCGCAACCCCUGCGUGUAGUUGCCAUCAGGUGAUGCUGGGCACUCUGCACGGACUGCCACCGUAAGGUGUGAGGAAGGUGGGGAUGACGUCAAAUCAGCACGGCCCUUACGUCUGGGGCUACACACGUGUUACAAUGGGUGGUACAGCGAGUUGUCCGCCGGCAACGUCGGACCAAUCUUGAAAACCAUUCUCAGUUCGGAUUGGGGUCUGCAACCCGACCCCAUGAAGCUGGAUUCGCUAGUAAUCGCGCAUCAGCCAUGGCGCGGUGAAUACGUUCCCGGGCCUUGUACACACCGCCCGUCAAGCCAUGAAAGCCGGGGGCGCCUGAAGUCCGUUUCCGCGAGGUUCGGCCUAGGGUGAAACUGGUGAUUGGGGCUAAGUCGUAACAAGGUAACCGUAA
rnacentral:rRNA from 1 species